rnacentral:rRNA from 1 species
CAGCAGCCGCGGGAACACGAAGGGGGCUAGCGUUGCUCGGAAUGACUGGGCGUAAAGGGCGCGUAGGCGGAUCACGCAGUCAGAUGUGAAAUUCCUGGGCUUAACCUGGGGGCUGCAUUUGAGACGCGUGGUCUAGAGUGUGAAAGAGGGUCGUGGAAUUCCCAGUGUAGAGGUGAAAUUCGUAGAUAUUGGGAAGAACACCGGUGGCGAAGGCGGCGACCUGGUUCAUAACUGACGCUGAGGCGCGAAAGCGUGGGGAGCAAACAGGAUUAGAGACCCCUGUAGUCCCUGUCUCUUAUAC